rnacentral:rRNA from 1 species
GACGUAGGAGGCGAGCGUUGUCCGGAUUCAUUGGGCGUAAAGAGCACGCAGGCGGUUUGGCAAGUCGGAUGUGAAAACCCGGAGCUCAACUCCGGACCCUGCAUCCGAAACUGCCCGACUAGAAGGUAGGUAGGGGAGGAUCGGAAUUCCUGGUGUAGCGGUGAAAUGCGCAGAUAUCAGGAGGAACACCGGUGGCGAAGGCGGGUCUCUGGGCCGUAACUGACGCUGGAGGAGCGAAAGCAUGGGGAGCGAACAGG